AACUUUGGAGAAUUCUUCGUACACUCGUUUCUUCAAAUGUGCUGCCAUCUUCACAGAAAUUGUUAGCUUAGCUUAGCAACGCGAGUCACGGCGCGGACUGUCCCUGCUCGCUUCCCGUCCGCGUUUCUUCUUCUACGGCUGCUUUUCUCCUUCUUCUUCCUCCUCUUCUUCUUCUUCUUCUGCGGCUUCAUUUCCGCUUCUUCCUCCUCCGGCGUUCGAGCACAGAAGUGUGGCGAUUGAGAGAAAGCGACUUCUUAUUUUACAGUUUUUUUUGCUGUAUCUCCCUUGUGAGACUUGUGUUGAGUCUCUUUCCGUUUGUCUGACUGGAUUUUUGCGAAGGCUCGUGGUUCGUGUGUGCGGCUGUCGCGCCCUGGUUCGCAUGGCGGCAGAGGAAGUCCGUGACUUGCGCAGCCUGACUCCAGUCAAGCCAUCCAGCUCUGUCCUCCCGCCAGCUGCUCCGUGGAGGACUGCUGCCUGGCCGUUGGGGAGGUGGUUGGCUGCACCAGUGCGAAGUCCGCCGACUGGAUGGAUGUGUUUGUGGACUGUACAGAGAAAGUGGACAGGCUCGUGGAACAUGGCGUCGUGAUUGAAGGAACCUUUACUCCCGUGAGUCGCUGAGUUGUUGGGUCGCAGUUCACCGGAGCGCCGCCGCAGCUCAUCAGCCUCGUUAAGCUCACCGGUACUCCUGCAGCUGACCGAUACCGUCUUCCAGGACGUCUGGAUCACCGUCCUCCCAGACCAGACCCGUCCCCAAAACGAAGCGCGGUUCUGACGGCGGUCCGGUGGAACAUUGGGACCUGCAGCACCCAGAGCAGCCAGCAGGAGGAGCUCACAUCGCUGUUACUGGGGAACAACAUGAACAGACGGGACUGCUUCCCUUUGUAUAAACAUUUAUCUUUGGUGUUUUUUCUGGUGUGGCGUGAAUA